rnacentral:piRNA from 3 species
UAAAGUGCUGACAGUGCAGAUAGUGGUCCUC